rnacentral:rRNA from 1 species
AUUGAACGCUGGCGGCAGGCCUAACACAUGCAAGUCGAACGAGUGGCGGACGGGUGAGUAAUGUCUGGGAAACUGCCUGAUGGAGGGGGAUAACUACUGGAAACGGUAGCUAAUACCGCAUACCAUCAGAUGUGCCCAGAGGGGAUUCGCUUGUUGGUGGGGUAACGGCUCACAAAGGCGACGAUCCCUAGCUGGUCUGCGAGGAUGAGCAGCAACACUGGAACUGAGACACGGUCCAGACUCCUACGGGAGGGAGCAGUGGGGAAGAUUGCAAAAUGGGCGCAAGCCUGAUGCAGCCAUGCCGCGUGUAUGAAGAAGGCCUUAGGGUUGUAAAGUACUUUCAGCGGGGAGGCGUGACCCGCAGAAGAAGCACCGGCUAACUCCGUGCCAGCAGCCGCGGUAAUUC